CCAAUCUCGCGAUCGAAAGUAAAACGUGUGCGUGUCUCGUACAUUCUUGAUUUGUAGAAUCAAGAGAUUUAUUUUUUUUCCGUUUCAAACAGGAUGAUCGAAUGAUUUUCGCGUGAUUAACAUCAAAUUCCAGGAUGCUUCUGCGUCGCUAAAUACGCGUUCUUCUUCGAGAAUGAAUCUGGAUUAAUCACCUGUGAGCUGCGUUUCCCCGAGCUUCGACGAGAAACUGCGUGGGCUGGCGCCAGAGCGUCGAGCUCCUUCCGCUUCUUCAUCUUCUUCAUCGGCUGACGAAGGGGCACCGUCACCGCCACCGAGUCCAUCUCAAGUAAAACCACUCCGCCUAUCUUUCGGAAUAUCUUUGACGCGAGACACGUCCCCAGUUUCUCCCGUAGCUGUUCACGGAAAUUAAUCGGAGGAUCCCUUGAAACCUCGCAAUCUACAUCUUCGUCUCCAGCCUUAGCACUCUUGAAACUCGUAGCUGUUCAGCUGAUGCACUUUAUUCAAUUUCUGAAUCUUAAACGAGGCACAUAC